rnacentral:rRNA from 1 species
CAGUCGCCACGGGAAUACGAAGGGGGCUAGCGUUGUUCGGAUUUACUGGGCGUAAAGGGUGCGUAGGCGGACUGAUAAGUCAGGGGUGAAAUCCCAAGGCUCAACCUUGGAACUGCCUUUGAUACUGUUAGUCUUGAGUUCGAGAGAGGUGAGUGGAACUGCGAGUGUAGAGGUGAAAUUCGUAGAUAUUCGCAAGAACACCAGUGGCGAAGGCGGCUCACUGGCUCGAAACUGACGCUGAGGCACGAAAGCGUGGGGAGCAAACAGGAUUAGAGACCCCUGUAGUCCCUGUCUCUUAUAC